GAGAAGGAAGAAAGAGGAGUGAGAGGCCUGAACAGAGAAGCUGUGUGACUCACCCGCUCUGCUCUGAAUAGCUGCAGAGACAGAGAACCAGAGACCGAGCCAGAGGCAGAAAAGGACAGCGGAGGACAGAAUGAGCAGGUUUCACAUCACAGACACCCCACUGUGGCACCCGACUUCUCACCAUUCUCUGCUUGUCUUUCAGCCCCCCCACACCUGGCGAGGGCCCCAGCAGUGAUCAGAGACCACGUAUGAGCCCGCUGGCUCUCUGAUGGGACGCGGGUUGGCUCGGUUUCUGUGUGUUCCGACCCGCCGCUGACCCGGCCCGUUCAUGAAGACUGCAGCUCAUAGCUUCAUUAACAGGAACACAUGUCUUCAGCAUGAAGGAGCCGGCUGAUGCAGGGCACUGAUGAUGAAAAGCCCAGUUUAGCUGCAGAGAUAUAGAGUGAAAAGAAGUCAUCUGAGGUUGUGGUCUCUCGCUUGUCAAACCAGUUCCAUCAGACUAAUCCCACUGUGUCAACGCCUCAAGACCCAACAAGCAGAGGAGAGAAAGGGCUGAAGUGUUCACGGCUCAAAGUUUUGUCUUCGUCCUUUAAGACCUGUCAGCACUGACGACAUGCGUACAGAUUCAAUCUUUUUAUGUUGACGCUGGCUUAUGCAAACUAAUCAUUUCAUAAAAUGUUCGUCAUUCAUUCUGUAAAAGGAAAUGAAAUCACUGAAGAAAAUGUUACCUACAGUGAUAUCAUCUUGAGAGGUUUAGGUGUUUUUUUAAAUCUCUGCUUUAAUAAUUACACAUGGUUUUACAGAUUUAAGUGGUAACACCUUUGAAAUUUUCCCUGAAACUGAACAAUAAUGUCAGUAUCACUUCAUGUCAAAACCCUUCAACAUCUUCUUUUAAACCCCUUUAAAUGACAUUUUUUGUGAUGUUUAUUUUUCUAAACUGUUGGUAUUU